rnacentral:lncRNA from 1 species
GCUUAAUAAAAGCUUAAUAUAUUUAUUUUACUUUAUUUUUGCUAAUUGUCCUUGUAGGUUCUUUGCUGUGAAUAUCAUCUAAAUGCACUUGCAGGCACUUAGUAAUAAUAAUAAUGUGGUAAUGGGAAUCUUGGUGUUUUCUUUGGUAACCCCGAUUUUUCCUACAUUUUUAUAUUUGAAGAAGAUCUCACUGGAGGUGGCACCAUCCACGUAGACAUCUCAGAAUUACCUGCUCAUGCUCGUCACUGUGCUGAAACUCUCGCAGGCUGCAUUUCAAUGGGAUGCUCUGCAUUCCUUCUGUAUGACAUACAGGCUGAUGCUCAUGAGUGCUAGGCUCACCCCAGCAUGCCGGUACAUCUGUCCGACCGCCGUGGAAACCGCCAGCCAACCGCCUCUCCCGAGAAGAGAAAGAAUUCUACCAAUAAUGAGACUGUUAACGUGGCCAAGUUGGAGCAGCUGUAAGAAAAUGACAUAGGUAAUGACUAGAGCCAAAGUAUCUUUAGCAUCUGACCGAGCUGUCCGUACUCUAACCUUCCACACUCAUUACAGUGAUCUUAAAGUAUGAGAAACUCAAGAUGUUAGAAAACAUUCCCAUUAAAUGUGAAUUUGAUCUCAGAUCUGACAGAAAUUUAGAAAUUCCUUUUUUUCCCAGAAUACUCCCUAUUCGUUAGGUAUCAGAUUUCCAAACCAUUUUUAGGAAAAAAAGAUUGUCCUCUAUAAUAGUCUCAAUUUUUAGAAAUUUCUUCCUCUGUAACAGAAGUUUGGGAAAGAAAUGGAGCCCCUUUUAGGAAUUACAAUGGUGUACUCAGAGUUCUGGAAUCUGACAUUCAAUCCAAGUCCUUUAACAAAAAGGCAGGAUUCAGCUUCAGUUUUCCUUGUCAACAAUAUCUUUACUCAUAUGAUCAAUACUCCUACACAACAAGCUGCAAUGCACUUAUAAAACCAGUUAACAGAAAGGAAAAGAAGUGAUACCAGGAGAUUCAUAUUAUCUUCAAAAUCACUGAUUGAAACAUGGAUUUAAAACAUUUUUUAAAAAGAGACAUAGGCAAGCUCCUGGGUGGCUCAGUUGGUUAAGCAUCUGACUUCAGCUCAGGUCAUGGAAUCAUGGUUUGUGGGUUCGAGCCCCACAUGGGGCUCCGGGCUGACAGCUUAGAGUCUGGAGCCUGCUUCCA